UUCGGGAUGCCGGCGAGUGGCGAACGGGUGAGUAAUACGUGGAAACCUAUCCCGAGGUGGGGGAUAACAGCUGGAAACGGCUGCUAAUACCGCAUAAGCCCUAAGGGGGAAAGAUUUAUCGCCUUGGGAGGGGUCCACGUCGGAUUAGCUAGUUGGUAGGGUAAAGGCCUACCAAGGCGACGAUCCGUAGCUGGUCUGAGAGGAUGGACAGCCACACUGGGACUGAGACACGGCCCAGACUCCUACGGGAGGCAGCAGUGGGGAAUAUUGCGCAAUGGGGAAACCCUGACGCAGCGAUGCCGCGUGGGUGAAGAAGGCCUUCGGGUUGUAAAGCCCUUUCAGUGGGGAAGAUAGUGACGGUACCCACAGAAGAAGCUCCGGCUAACUCCGUGCCAGCAGCCGCGGUAAUACGGAGGGGGCGAGCGUUGUUCGGAAUUACUGGGCGUAAAGGGCGCGUAGGCGGUGCAGCAAG
rnacentral:rRNA from 1 species